rnacentral:rRNA from 1 species
GACGGGGAGCACCACAACGGGUGGAGCUUGCGGUUUUAAUUGGAUUCAACGCCGGAAUCUUACCGGGACCGACAGCAAUAUGAAGGCCAGGCUGAAGACUUUGCCGGAUUAGCUGAGAGGUGGUGCAUGGCCGUCGUCAGUUCGUACUGUGAAGCAUCCUGUUAAGUCAGGCAACGAGCGAGACCCACGCCCACAGUUGCCAGCGUACUCUCCGGAGUGACGGGUACACUGUGGGGACCGCCGCUGCUAAAGCGGAGGAAGGAAUGGGCAACGGUAGGUCAGUAUGCCCCGAAUAUCCCGGGCUACACGCGAGCUACAAUGGUUGGUACAAUGGGUAUCUACCCGAAAGGGGACGGGAAUCUCCUAAAACCAAUCUUAGUUCGGAUUGAGGGCUGCAACUCGCCCUCAUGAAGCUGGAAUCCGUAGUAAUCGCGUUUCAACAGAGCGCGGUGAAUACGUCCCUGCUCCUU